GGAGUUAGCCGGUGCUUCUUCUGUGAGUGAUGUCCUUCCUGCCGGUUAUUGACCCGCAGGCCUUCUUCCUCACUGAAAGUGCUUUACAACCCGAAGGCCUUCUUCACACACGCGGCAUGGCUGGAUCAGGGUUGCCCCCAUUGUCCAAUAUUCCCCACUGCUGCCUCCCGUAGGAGUCUGGGCCGUGUCUCAGUCCCAGUGUGGCUGAUCAUCCUCUCAGACCAGCUACGGAUCGUCGCCUUGGUGAGCCGUUACCUCACCAACCAGCUAAUCCUACAUAGGCUCAUCCGAUAGCGCGAGGCCCGAAGGUCCCCCGCUUUCCCCCGUAGGGCGUAUGCGGUAUUAGCCUGGGUUUCCCCAGGUUAUCCCCCACUACCGGGCAGAUUCCUAUGCAUUACUCACCCGUCCGCCGCUCGCCACCAGGGAGCAAGCUCCCCGUGCUGCCGCUCGACUUGCAUGUGUUAGGCCUGCCGCCAGCGUUCAAUCUGAGCCAGAAUCAAACUCUGA
rnacentral:rRNA from 1 species